UACGUAGGGGGCUAGCGUUGUUCGGAUUCAUUGGGCGUAAAGGGUGCGUAGGCGGCGCGGUAAGUCGGGUGUGAAAUCUCGGAGCUUAACUCCGAAACUGCAUUCGAUACUGCCGUGCUUGAGGACUGGAGAGGAGACUGGAAUUUACGGUGUAGCGGUGAAAUGCGUAGAUAUCGUAAGGAAGACCAGUGGCGAAGGCGGGUCUCUGGACAGUUCCUGACACUGAGGCACGAAGGUCAGGGGAGCAAACGGG
rnacentral:rRNA from 1 species